rnacentral:tRNA from 1 species
GCCGGCAUAGCACAGCGAUAGUGCAGCGGUUUUGUAAACCGAAGGUCGGGAGUUUGAAUCUCUCUGCCGGCACCA